CAAAUGAUUGAAGAUAACUUGUGCUGUGAUAUUGUCCUACCUACUUCUGUCUUCAGAUGAAGAGUUCUGAAUAUGAUCCUCUGCUCACCAGUCUGAUGCUGACUGGUGCCCACAAGAUUCUCCAAUCUGAGAACAAGAGCCCCCUGAAGUCAAGCAUGGUGUCCUGUGUGGCCACAAAGGGGAAAAGAAUAUUUAUGAAAAGUCAGUGCCUUAAGGUUGCCUUAUUUUUGCACCAGUCUGAAUUCAAUUGUUGUGCCUCCCUCAGAGAUUUUCCAGCAAAGGCAACGUCUGUGACCCGUGGCAUGAGCAGCUCUGAUGGGAGGAGAGCCCACCCGCACCAACAUUUUGUCCUCAGAAAGAUACUGCAAGGAAACAUGAAUACAGAU
rnacentral:lncRNA from 1 species